UCAAAGCUUCAAUUUUUUAUUUGUAGACUCUGAGGUUAUUAGUCUGUGUAGUGUAUAUUAAUUAGUCAUAUAUAGUGCUAUUCUAAGGGUUUUUUUUUUUAGUUAAAUCAUUUUGUUGGUAUUGAAGCUUAUCUAAUUAUAAUGAAAAAAAAUAUUUAGUUAAAGAAAAAACAUACGAAAAUAUGCUUUCCUAUUUUUCAAUAAAAUUAUAAAAACUAUAUUUUAAUCGACUCAUUUUGAUGAGCGCAAUCAUAAACGGAGUCUAAUUGUGAAUAAGUGAUAUGCCGAAUUAGAUAGUAUGUGUACAUGUAUAUGAUUCGUUCAUGUGUUCAAUCUAAAGGUCUCGUAUAUGUUUACGCAUAAGUUACUUACAUACUAGGGAAAUACUCUUGGAAUACUUUUUUUAAAAAAAAAAUUAAUGGAUACACUGGGUACAGGCAAUAGUAUUUCUCCAGUGAGAAGCUUCAUGGGGUUCAUGCACAAACUCAAUGCACGCGCGUCCAUCUAACGGUCGUUAUUGAUCGUGCCCGCAAUGUACGGUCGAUUGGACCCUCCCGGCACGCGUGAGAGCGUGCGAUGAUGGGAAGGGGCGUGGUGGUGUUUUUGGUUCCCCGUAGCGGGGAAUUAAACAACGCCAAAAUGAUUAAGCAUUAUAUAAUAAUAACACCACACGGUUUAUUCCAUAAUUUGUGUUUACCUAAAUACUCGCCGGGAAACCGGCUGUUGCCGGUACGAAAUCCUACGUGGACCAUCGGUGGGCCCCGCCACUACCCAUUUCCUUCCUUCGGUUGAAGCGUUAAAAGUUAGUUGAGACGCCACUAGGGGAGAGGAAACACUAAAAAAAUUGUACAACGACCCCCUCGAUUGUAAGCUGUUUUCAUAUACAUCCUUUACCCUACAAUUUUAUUCAAUAUUUCAAAAAUGUACGAAGUCACAUAAAUUUAGGGGCCUAGUUCAAAAUUGGCUGUUGUUGAGGCGGUCCGUGUACAUUUUUACCAUAGGGGAAUCUGGGGGAAACCGUUAUAACGGCGUCAUAACGGGGGGUGGGCACAGCUUUUAACCGUGGUUAAGUAGGAGGGAAACGAUACCCAAAUCUCUCUAUAAAAAUGGCGCUUCUUUCGCAUUCCCUCCAGCUGCGCUUUUUCUCUUCUUCUCCAAGCUAGAGAGAGAGAGAGAGAGAGAGAGAGAGAGCUCUGAAGCUUCGAUAAUGGCGGCGGCGGCUUCUUCUAUUAGGGCUCCUCUGCUUCUUCUUCUUCUUCUUCUAGGGCUUCUGAUGCUUAUAAUGGGAGCCGUUGGGUGGAUUCAACGCGAAAACCUCGUCAAUUCCAGGUACAUUUCUCUCGAUUAUCGUCUCAUUCGCGAUUAAUUAGAAAUUAAUUAACGGAAAUGUAGCAAUUACCUGUUCUUCGUGUUAUUACUAUUCCAGGAUUAGCAGCGGAGGAGCUUCUAGAAGGCUCCUGAGAGAGUCCAUGGCGAAUGAGACCUCUUCUUCUUCUACCCCGGAGAGGUGAGUUGGAGUUGGAGAGCGCUUCCCCUUCUCUUUAGAUCUCGCCCGUUGGUUUUCGUGCUGAGUGGAUCUGGAUCGUUGCUUCGUUGUCGCCCGUUCGUUAAUUUGCUCCUCCAAUCACGGCUUUGCUUUUCCGCUUUACUGGGGAAAAGGCAAAAAGAGCUACUUAAAAUAUUACUUAUUUUUUAUUCUCAUUGUUCUAAAUAUUAUUUAUUUAUUUAUUUAUUUAUUGAUUCUUUGGAAUUUAUAGCCGCGACCGUUUUGCCGCUUCGGUCGUUGGAGAUUCUCCUCCCGAGGUGGCAUCGCUGCGACAUAAUAACUAAAUAAUAUAUUUACUAUCUCUUGUGACUUGUAUUUUUCUUUUUUAAAAAUUUUUAUUUACAGUUUUUACGUAUUAAUUUGUAGUUUUGUGAGACUAUAAUAAGAGAUUAAUUUAAUCAAGUUACUUAAAUUCCGUUACUUUAAUUUGGACUCCUCGUUUGUACAGGCCAGUGGUGGGUGCUGUAGAUGACCCCGAAGAAGUUGCUUCCAUGGUAGGAAUGUACGUACAUUCUUAUUCAUAUAUAUAUAUUUAUACUUAUCUAUUUUGUUUUUCCCUUGAAGCUGUUUAAUUAGAUUCGUAUUUUGUAUUUAUCAUUCAACUUCAACUAUUAUUAUAAAGAAUAGAUUGUUUUUGUAAGGGAAAAAAAAAGGCAAAUUAAUAUUGUGAAUUUACUAAAGCCAAUCAAUCACCCGUGUAACAUGUGAGCCCGAAUCAAUCACCAGCUCAUCGGAUUCCAAUUUAACCCAAAUAAGGUUCGGGUCCGAUCCAGGGCUCGUUCUCAACACAAUCACGUGACCAUAGACUACGAAGAGUUUGAUAACUAAUAUUUUGAUUAAAAAAAAAAAACAAACAAACAAAAAAACCAUAAAGGGCUCUGCACUAAUUCACGUUGUUCUGCAACUACUAGCCCGUUCCCACGAAAGAGGUACACCCCCUACCCCUCUCGAAUUUAAUGAAGAGUGGGCUCAUUCAAUUCCAACCGCAUGGUAGCUCCAGCGACGUUCAUGAUCCAAAUCAUUGCGUGAACCUGGUCCAUCAUGUCAAUCAUAGACCGUCAAAAGAGUUUAUUAUUCAUUUCAUGUGACGCCCAAUUUCUUAUAGAGUCACCAUCCUAGUACUACUCCUGUCCAAGCAAGUACUGUUCUCUUUACUUUUUAGGAGUUGGGCCUAGCCACCGUCCAAAAUACUUAAAUCGGAUUUAGAGUUUUAACCUUAUUAUAUAGUAUAUAUAAAAUUAUUUGAGGUCUCACAUUUCACCUGCUAUUUUAAUUCUCAUUGCAUAACAAAUGCUGCACCCGUAGAUGAUGUGGCGGACCUGGUCUAUGCGUAGUUUCAUGUGGGCACGGCUACCUCUUCUGAAUUGUACUUGCAAUGCCCUUCCAUUAACUCCGCUCACAUCCGCAAGUAGUUUCAUUGUUUAAUUUGAGAUGUUUGAGUUAAUACAAUCUAGUUUAAUUCAGCUUAAUUAGAUUUAACAUAAUUCAGGAGCGUCAAAAACAGCACGGCGCGGCGCGCCCUCAGCAGCAGCAGUUACCUGUCGGGGUGCGGCACGGGCAACCCGAUCGACGACUGCUGGCGGUGCGACCCCGAUUGGCACCUCCACCGCAAGCGGCUCGCCGAUUCUACCGCGUGACCGACCCGGGCGACGACGACCCCGUGACACCCCGCCCGGGCACGCUGCGCCACGCCGCCAUCCAAUCGGAGCCGCUGNGACGGCCGAUUCUACCGCGUGACCGACCCGGGCGACGACGACCCCGUGACACCCCGCCCGGGCACGCUGCGCCACGCCGCCAUCCAAUCGGAGCCGCUGUGGAUCGUGUUCGAGCGCGACAUGGUGAUCACGCUCAAGCAGGAGCUCAUCGUGAACAGCUUCAAGACCAUCGACGGGCGCGGCGCCAACGUGCACAUAGCCGACGGCGCCUGCGUCACGGUGCAGUACGUGACCAACGUCAUCAUCCACGGCGUCCACAUACACGACUGCCGCCCGACGGGCAACGCCAUGGUGCGGAGCUCGCCGACGCACUACGGGUGGCGGACGAUGGCCGACGGCGACGCCGUCUCGAUCUACGGCUCCAGCCACGUGUGGGUCGACCACUGCUCGCUCUCCAACUGCGCCGACGGCCUCAUUGACGCCGUCGCGGGCUCCACCGCCAUCACCAUAUCCAACAACUACUUCACCCACCACAACGAGGUACAUGUACAUAUUGCAAUAAUAUCUCCCGAACAGUUCUAUUAAUGUUCGACUUGUUUAAUUACUAACCGGUUAAAAUAUGUAUAGGUGAUGUUAUUGGGUCACAGUGAUUCGUACGAGCAAGAUAAGGCCAUGCAAGUAACGAUUGCGUUCAAUCAUUUUGGCGAGGGCCUAAUUCAGAGGAUGCCGAGGUAAUAAUGUAAUAAUAAUAGUGGGUGACUCCAUGCUCUGCAUUCUGAUAGGGUGAUCGAUUAAUUUGUAGAGGAUGGAUUAGUAAUGCUAAAUUGUUUGUUAAUUUGGGGAUUGGAAAAUUAACGACAGGUGCAGGCACGGGUACUUUCACGUCGUGAACAACGACUACACGCACUGGGAGAUGUACGCCAUCGGAGGGAGCGCGAAUCCGACCAUCAAUAGCCAGGGCAACCGCUACCUCGCCCCCGGCAACCCCUUCGCCAAAGAGGUAAACCAACUUUACCAAAUGUUUACAUGAUGCAGCAUUGCCGCAGAACUUUGAACCUCUAUUUCAAUUUGAUGAGCUAUACCCAAACUCUAUUUGACUUCUCUGAUUAGAUUAUAGAGGCAUUAAUUACAAUGAAAAUUGUGAUAUAACAGUUGAUUAUACUUUAAUCAUCACAUCAUCACAGAAUGAUAUGAUGAUAGGUGCAUUAUUUAUUACGCUAUUUUGAAUUCGAAGAAUAUAAAUAUAUACAUAAAGGUAACGAAGAGGGUGGAGACAGAGGAGAGCGUGUGGAAGAGCUGGAAUUGGAGGUCGGAAGGGGACCUGAUGCUAAACGGUGCAUACUUCACCCCGUCGGGGGCUGGCGCCUCCGCGAGCUACUCGCGGGCAUCUAGCCUCGGAGCCAGGCCUUCCGACAUGGUCGGCGAUAUCACUUCUGGCGCCGGAGUCCUCUCCUGCCGCAAAGGGAAGUCGUGCUAGCUAAUGUACGCGACAAGCACGGCCGCCGCACAGUUCCGUUCUUUCUUUCUUUUUUUAAAAUUUUCUGCAGCAGCUAUAGAUUUGUGCGAUAUUUUUUAUGCAGCAUAGUCGUAUUUAUAUUUCGAUGUUUUUGUUUUCUCGCAACCUCUGCCUGCUUCUGUUGGAUUAUUGCGUGGCUAAUGCGGCAGUGUUGUUAAAUUUUACAUUUUCCUUUGUGACUAGAAUCCAUGUCCAUUGCUAGUACACUCACAAAUUGGCAAUUGUAUGGAUGGUAUAUAUAGUGUAAUAGCUGCAUAUAUAUAUAUAUGUUUGUGUAUUAAUCUUCUUAGAUUGAUGUGUAGGCAACUUAGUCCAAUUUUCUCUUUUCUGAAUGGAAUGUGACAUGAUUUUGUUGGUCACCAACCAUUUCCGGUGACUCGAGCAUAGCAUCUUUUUCGCAAGCCCUUGUCAUUUCCAAGCCUCUCUAUCCAGUUUUGCUUUGAUUUGAGGAGUACAUUCGAAACCUGGAACAGUAAACAUCAUCUUGACGAUCCUACAGCCACGCCGAGUAGAGCAUCUAUGUUGAGAUUAAACUCCUGUUCUAGUGCAUAAAUAGAGAGUAAGAUGUUAUAUCGGGCCUUGGCCCGGUCAGUUCUAGGCCCAAAAGGGGUGUGUAUGUUCACAUAAUUUGUACACGAAGAGCUUCUUUUUAGCCCAUAUAUGUAUACACAAGGCCUUGUAUCCCCAGGGAGAUUGAGCAAAAUAACUUGGUUCCCCUAUAAUAUUGAUCUUAUCUUAUAGACAGUAAAUAAGUACAACAUAGUUAUUGAUCCUGCACAUCAAAUUAAAUAGUUUAUAUCAUAUACGCAAGCAACGUCAAAAUCAUAUAUCGACGACUUAAUUUACAGCGACCAACAACAGUACCUUGUGCGUGGAAUUUUUUGUACCUAUAUACAUGACAAGUACCACAUAGUCAACAGUGAUUUUAUGAGAAGAGAUUGUCACGUCUAAGUUGGUGUCAUCUGUAGAAGCCAAGCCCUCUUGAUUCUUCUGGGAGCCCCAGCAAUGGACACCAGUUCGAGCCACGCAAACAUGACAAGACGAAGCCUACAAAACUUAUAUAUAUGUAUAUACACUGAUACACACACACACACACACAAAAAGGCAUUAAUUAGUAAGCAACCGAUAAUCUUACUUAGAAGCUAUUUAUUAAUUCGGAUAAAUUAAGGAAAAAAUGGUCUGAUUAUUCGAAUAAAUUUUCUCUAGUUUUCGUGCAAAUUUUUUUUCUACAUUUUUGGUGAACUAUUUAUUUGGAAGAUAAGAGUGGUUUCAACUAAUAAUGUCAAUUCUAAAAAUAAAAAGAUCGCGGGAUGUAUAAGAAUAUGAUAUCUUGGCGCUCGUCAUGCAGCUUGGAAUCCGAGGCAAAAAAAAAAAAAACCAUUCAACUUGAUCCCCGUUUAUAUAACAGGGUUCGGCCACAUUGAGCAUAAUUAUUUUGCUAAUAAUUAAUAGAGUUUGUUAGGUUGAUUCUGGUGGGUUGAUAUUGGUAUAUAUGUUUAUAUUGAAUUGUUAAAUAUUAUACAGCAUUUGAUGUACUUUUUUCUUAAAUAGAGCAAUGAGAUGGUCUUUAUUUAAUUUGACGCACAAUGUAAUAUUCUAGUUUCUAAAGAAAUGUGUUAUUUUGAAAAUAGUUUUUACACUUUAUUUAUUCUAAAAUUUAUAUUCUUCAUUUGAAUCUUAUUAAUGUAUAUAAUUAAAAUUUUAUUUAAAAUUUAUUAUUUAUUCUAAAAUUUAUAUUCUUCAUUUGAAUCUUAUUAAUGCAUAUAAUUAAAAUUUUAUUUAAAAUUUAUAAAUUUUAGAAUAAAAAAAUAUCUAUAAAUAAAAAUAUAUAGAUACUUUUUUUUAAAGAUAAUUGUUUAUAUGCCCCUCAUAAGUUUAAAAAUAUCCGAUUUAUUUCUAUCUUUUUUUUUUCUUUCUAAAAUAUCAUUCAUAUGUUCUACCGUUAUUGCAAAAUAUUCCCGCAGUUAUCUCAUGUUAGGUUAACUUGAGUUAAAUGUGAGUUAAAUAUCUACCAUAGUUAAAAAAAAUUAAAAUUGAAAGACCAAACGUCAAAAUACUUUUGGUGCCCUUGACUUUAAGGGUGCGUUUGGUUUGCAUUAUGAAAGAUUACUAGGAAUAAAAGAUAUCCGAGAAUCUUAUUCCUAUUCAUUCUAUUACUAAGAAUGUGGAAUUCCUAUGUUUGGUUCGCACGGUAAUAUUAAUUAGCCAUGUUAUUUAAUAUUACAAAAAAUAUAUAAUUAAUUGAUUUAUUUAUUUAAUUAAUUUUAGAUAAUGUUACCAAAAAUUUCAACAUCUUUUUAGAAAAAAGGGAGAGAGAGUAUAAGUUAGAUAGAGAGAGCAUAAUUAAAAAAAUAGAAAGAAAAAUAUAGUCAAAUUAGAGAGAGUGAGAGAGUUGAAAUUUUAGAAAGAGAGAGAGAGAGAGAGAGAAAGCUUAGUUUAGAGAGAGAAAAAAAAAAGUUGAAUUUUAGAGAGAAAAAUAAGUUUAGAGAGAGAUAUAAAGUUAGAGUGUAAAGACAAAUAAUAUCAAUUAGCCGGCGGGUAGGAAGAAAGAAAGAGAUAAGACAUAUUAUGAUUACCCCAAUUCAUUAAUAUGAGGAUACCCACCCUCCCUAAAGGGAAUGAGAUUAGUACUUUAGGGUGAAUCUUAUUCCCAAGUGAAUCCAAUAUUAUCAACUAGAUUACUUAGUGCGCUUAACCAAACACCGUCAUAAUUUUUUAUUUCCAUUGGAUUACUAGGAAUCUUUAAAAGAUAGCGCGAACCAAACGCACCCUAAGAGCAAAUAAGAAAGUCAGUAAUUGUGAAAAGGUACAUUUGAAAGGACAAAAUAAUAAUUUUACAGAAAUAACAUAGUUCAUUAACGAUUUUAACUUUAUGAGUAUAUUAGGAAUAGGUUGGAACGUAGAAAAAAUAUUUUGAAUAUUAAUUUUUUAAGAAAAAUAAAUUGAAAAGUCAAAAAUAUUUCAAAAGUAUAUAAAUAAAUUUUUUUUUUUAUUUAUAAGAAUAAAAAUAGAGAACAAUAGAAAGGACAAAACAUCAGAUGGACGCCCACACCUACCAGCGAACAAGCCAAGUAGUCAGCGUCCACAGUCUCUAGUCUCUACCCGUCCCUCCUCUUUUCACACUAUUUAGCGAACUAAUAAUUCAAAGUCCUCACCUACACCAUUAUUCACACUCAUCAUGUCCGCAUACUAAUUAAGUGUUAUCUCGUAUACAAAAAAAAAAGAAAAAGAAAAAGAAUUAUGUUUCAGAUUGAUAAUAUUGCUCAUCAGUCAACAAAUAUAGUUAAGCUGUUCAUAUUAAAUAAUUCACUUACGUUCCAUCACUGAUCAACACUAAAAUUAAUAACAUUUAUUAUCUCUACACACUGAUUGAUAAAGCCCGCGCAAAUGCUUAAGUGGGAUAUAUCCCAUCAUUGCGGUGUAUGCAAGUGGGUUAUUUGGUUGAGCACUGAUCUUCUAAUAAGCUCUUAUUAAACUCUAUAAAAGACAACAAUCUUUUUUUCUAAAAACAUAAAAAAGGAGAAAAAUAAUGAAAAAGAGAAAUUUAAAAAAGCCACCUCAAAAUUCCAACCAUCUCCACUCUCAAAAACCCUACUACUACUACUACUACUACUACUACUACCAUACCAGUUUUAGUACUCACCUACUUUUCUUUUUAAUUAGUGCUAAAAUAACCAAAAGAAAAAAGAAAAGAAAAGAAAAGAAAAGAAAAGGAAAAUCUCUCCUCCUCCUCCUCCUCGGCUCCUCCUCUUCUUCAGAAUAAAUCAAAAUCAAAACCCCACCUUUUCUCCUUCCACACUCUUCUCCUCUCUCUCCUCGAGGCUCCAACGACAAUGUCUUCUUCGCCAUUGAUGAGCACUCCCCUCCGCCUCCUCCUCUUCUUCUUCUUCUUCUUUUUCUUCUUCCUCGUCGUCGUCCCCGUAUCCUCAUCGGCCAUGUCCUCGGACGUGGCCCUGCUGCUGGAGAAGAUAAAGCCGGCGCUGCAAGGACCGUCCUUGACGAACCCGGAGCUGGCGACGUGGAACGCGUCGACGCCGCUGUGCCUGUGGCGCGGCCUCCGAUGGUCGGCAUCGUCGGCGCCGGUGCCGUGCUCGGAGGCGGGGGUGCGGUCCAACCUCUCCCUCGUGUACGAGCCGACCCUCCAACUCGUCUCCCUCCGCCUGCCCGCCUCCGCCCUCUCCGGCUCCCUCCCCCCGGAGCUCGGCGCCUUCUCCUCGCUCGAGUCCCUGCUCCUCCCCGUCAACUCCCUCUCCGGGCCCGUCCCCCUCGAGCUCGCCAACUCCCCCUCCCUCUCCCAGCUCGACCUCGCCUCCAACUCCCUCUCCGGCGCCCUCCCCGCCUCGCUCUGGAACCUCUGCGACCGCCUCGUCUCCCUCCGCCUCCGCGCCAACGCGCUCUCCGGCCCCGUCCCCGACCCCGCCGCCCCGGGCUCCCCCUGCGACCGCCUCCGACUCCUCGACCUCGCCGAGAAUCGCUUCGACGGGCCCUUCCCCCUCUUCCUCACCGGCUUCCGCGCCCUGCAGGAGCUCGACCUCAGCGCCAACCGCUUCUCCGGCCCCGUGCCCCCCGAGCUCGCCCAGCUCCGCGGCCUCCAAAGGCUGAACCUUUCCUACAACAACUUCUCCGGCGAGCUCCCCGCCGCGCUCUCCCGCUCCCAGUUCGGCGCCGCCGCGUUCCAGGGCAACGACCCUUCCCUCUGCGGGGCUCCGCUGAGGAAGUGCGGGUCCGGCUCCGCGGGCCCGAGCUCCGGCGCCAUCGCCGGGAUCGUGAUCGGGACCAUGGCCGGGGCCGUGGUGCUCGCCUCCGUCUCGAUCGGGUGGGUGCAGGGGCGGAAGAGGAAGAGCCGGGGACUGGGCAAAGGGGAAGGCGACGACGACGGCGACGACGGCUGCAUAGAAAUGGAGGCAGGGCACGAAGGGGACGAGGGUAAGCUCAUUGUGUUUCAGGGCGGUGAGCACCUUACUCUAGAGGACGUGCUAAAUGCUACAGGGCAGGUGAUGGAGAAGACGAGCUACGGGACUAUCUACAAGGCGAAGCUCGCCGAAGGAGGCAACAUCGUGCUUAGGCUGCUGCGCGAAGGGAGCUGCGCCGACACGGCUUCGUGCUUGCCCGUAAUUCGGCAGCUCGGGCGGGUUCGCCACGAGAAUCUGGUCCCCCUGAGAGCGUUCUACCAAGGCAAGAGAGGGGAGAAGCUGCUCAUACACGACUAUUUCCCUAACAGAACGCUCCAUGAUCUACUUCACGGUACUCGGCUCGCACUCAUUACCGCCAUCUAUCGCAGCUGUGUUGUCGAUCACCGAGUGUUUGGUUUAAUGCUGCUGAGAAAAUUGUUGUUUAUGGACUAAGUGUUUGGUUUAAUUUAAUGCUGCUGCAGAGAGUAGAGCCGGGAGGCCGCUGCUCAACUGGACGCGGCGGCAUAAGAUAGCGUUGGGGAUCGCGAGGGCGCUCGCGUACCUUCACACCGGUCAGGUAUGAAAAGAACCAUUUCCCGUGAAAGCUUAAAUACGUAGCGGCAGUGAUACUAAUAGAGCACAAAUUUUCACUGAUUAUUAACAAAACAGAUGCAUUGAACUUAGUUUGUAAAACCGUAUAUGUCAAUUGAUGGUUCUUAUUCAGUUCUAAUACCAUAUGAGGUAAUUGAGUUCUCUCUUAAGCUGUCGAAGAACAACUUUGUAACGUUCUCGUGCUUAACAACAGGAGACGCCAAUUGCCCACGGCAAUGUGCGGUCGAAGAAUGUGCUUGUGGACGAGUUUUUCGUGCCGCGGCUAACUGAAUUCGGGCUCAACAAACUACUAGUCCCUGCAGUCGCCGAUGAGAUGGUAUCGGCCGCCAAAUCUGACGGCUAUAAAGCGCCCGAGCUGCAGAAGAUGAAGAAGUGCAACCCUAGGACCGAUGUGUACGCCUUCGGUAUACUGCUUUUAGAGAUUUUGAUGGGCAAGAAGCCGGGAAGGGGAGCUGGGAAGGGGAGCGGGGAGGGGUCCGACCUACCGGCGUUAGUAAAGGUGGCGGUGCUCGAGGAGAACACGAUGGACGUGUUCGACGUGGAGAUUUUGAAGGGGAUAAGGAGCCCGACGGAAGAAGGGCUCGUGCAGGCGUUGAAGCUCGCCAUGGGCUGCUGCGCGCCCGUGGCUCAGGUCCGGCCCGACAUGAACGAAGUCGUGAAGCAGUUGGAGGAGAAUAGGCCGAGGAAUCGGUCCGCGCUCUACAGCCCUGCCGAUACUAGGAGUGAAAUUGGUACACCCUUGUGAUUGUUGUUGUCGAAACCUUUAUCUUAUGGUAAUUGAUCAAUAGAAUUGGAUUAAUUUCAAUGAGCCUUCUCAAAGGAAAAAAAAGAAAAAAAUGCUGCUAUGAAAUUAGAGAAGAUUCAAGAUGGUAAGGAUUAAAGUCUCCUUGUUGGUUAUUAUUCUACUUUUAGCAACAACAUUUUACCACUGUAUAUCGAAGAUAUAUAUAUAUAUAUAUAUAUAUAUAUAUAUAUAAGGUCGUUUCAAGUUGUAGUCAGGCCGAAACACGAUGGCUCAAAAGGUGGCAAUAUAAAUUGAAAAACUGAUAAAAGUGGGCAAUCUGAUAUGAUAAGUUGAUUGUUGAAUUAAGAUCUCUCGGGUGUAGUAGGAUUAGUAUGUAAAGAAGUAGUAGGGAUGUUGAAUUAAGAGAGAUUGAUGGUUUAUAACUUGUCUACAUAUAAGGCCUCUAUUUUGCUCUGUUAAUUUAGGUCAUCCUCUGUUAAACAGCUUGUUCUUGUUCUUUGAAAUGAUCAAAUUGCGCAUCGCCAUUUAUUCGUACAUUCUAUGUCUUUAAUAUUUACUUAGCCGGUGUAACAGGCUCUUUUAUUGUGGUCCAUAGUUUACCUGGGCUACAUGGCUCAUCUAAUUUGAUUAUGUUUAUUAUCUAUAGCUAUGUUGUUAAGUGGUUGGUGCUUCUUGUUAUAAUUAAUCAUCUUGUGAUUCUUUAGAAUAAACAAGCUUCUUUGUUCAUGGAUUCCAAUUGUUAAUAUUGAUCUUAAAGUUAAAAGUGAGACUUUAGUGAAAUGUUUCUUUCUUAUAAAUAUAUAUGGGAGGAAAUUGGUUGGUAGGAUCAGUAUGUAUAGCUGGAUCCAAAUCAAUGAACUUUUUAAUAUUGUUUAUGCACAAGUUGAUGUACAAACUAGAGUUCGUACCAAGCUCACAGUGAAGAAAAGCUUCACUAGAUAAUUUAAAAGGGGCCCAUAUAAAGUGUCCUGUGAUGUUUCUUUUCACUGUGGACUUAAUAAAGGAACAUUCCUCAUGGUGUUCCCUUAUUUUAAAAAGAGAGAGAGAAAGGAAAAAAGGAUCGACUUGCUUUGAUGUGCUUAUGGUUUAUCAGACCCACAUGAAUGAUCACUUUAGACUCAAAAGAUAAAAGCAUGAGGAUUUUUUUAAAAUAUCAAAUCAAAGCUUUUUUAGAAAAUAUUGUAAUAAUUUAGUCUACUAAUACUAAUAAUCAAACUUUAAUAAGUAUUUUGACCGGUAACUUGAGUUAUGUAUAUGAUUGGAUUGAAUAGAAUUACAAAACAUAUCAUGUCGAAUAAUAUGAGAAAUAAAUGGUUGGGGAACCAAAAAAAAAAAAAAGGGCACGGAUCGACAGGGUUGAAUUAAUGUGUCCCUGUCACUUAGUUGGUGACUCUGUUGUCAACCUUGGAACAGUUGACUGAUAGAAAGAAAAGAGGGUAAUGAUGACGUGGCUGUUGACUUAUUCUCCCGAUUGUGUGAUUGGGCGGGACAUGUCACGUCCCUAACUACCCACUUUGGGAUAAAGCAAUAAAUAUCAUUCCCAUGUUGUGUGGGGGUAAACCCAUAGAGGAAAGGAAAAUAAUUUGAUAGGGACCAUGAAGAACAUGAGAUUUCAACGUGUUUCUGAUACUAUGUUUUAUAUUAAUUAAAAAUGAUAUAUAUUUUAAUUAUUUAUGUUGAAUAUGUACUUGAAUUACCCAAACAAAUAACGAGUAUGUACGUAGGCUAGUAUAUAUCCUCUACUCGAUUGGAUAAUAGGUUCUGAAUUUGAAUCUCAUGGUUGGUAUGUAGAAAACUCUGGUUUACAAACAUCGCGAUAAUUAACUUAAUUGUCGUGUCAGUGAUAAGAACAAUAUAGGUCGGAAUGAUUAGUGAGUUUGAGAGAUCCAGACAUCAAAUUAAAUUGCUUCUAACAAGUAAUUAAUCGUGUUAAUCUUAAAUAAAGUGAGAACUAAGAAGUCGAAAUUUAUCCAGUAGCUAGCAUUUGAUAUUUGCGGAGCUACGCACAAGAGUUCCUUAAAUAGUAUGAAUAAUUAUAGUCAAUUGAUCUGCAUAAUCGCAAUCCAAGUGUUCAUGUUUUCACAUUUCUUUUUACAGAAAUAAAACUACUGCAAAUUCUAGUUGAACACAGCACUCGAGAAAGAAUUUUCAUGAAUAUACAUCGAUCGCAUUCAUCGCGUGUGUUGGCACGUAUCCUUGAUUGCACGUAUGCAUGUGCAAUCUGCGUGAAAUAUUGUUAUGAUCAUGGUGAAGUUAGAAGGAUUAAAUGACCAUGCAUUAACAAUCAUAAUGUACGUGGUUCGACUACGUCUCUCCUAAAGUUGGUUAAUCCUCUUUCAAGUUAUGAUCCUUCUUGCGUGGUUUUGAGUGAUCGACUCUUAUUAAAAAGGACAUUCAUGAGUAUGCAAUUUUAUAACAACUCAAAUGUACAUAAAAUCUCUUAUCGUUUGUUAUUAUUCUAGUCUAAAAAUUUUCUGAUGACACGCAAAGUCGAUCCCUAACUUCUCCAUCUAUCAGAUGUUCGUAAUAAGUCAAUUUACAUAAUAGCAUAAAUAUUUUACCAUCUUUUCUUGGUCUACUACUUUGCAAUGAACAUCUAACCAGUAACUUAAUACGGUAACCUAUUAAUUUGUUGCAAACAUUUGCAAACUGUGUUCAGAUGUUUUCUUCUUAAAUGUCUAGGUUCGUCGAAGAUAUCUUCGGAGAUACCAUUUAUUCGAUCAACCGAAUAGUUACUUACACUGUGACCUGUAAUGGUUUGCUGAAUAAAUUCACUGUGUCAAGUGGAUUUCCUCAAAGAUAUUGUUUCACGCAUGAAAUCAAAUGCUUCUGUGAUUUUUUUAAGUAAAUGCUUAUUUUGCAAUAUAGGAGUAAGUCAAAGCAUAUAAAUCUACUAGAGCUAGUGACUGAAAACCUUCUAUUUGAAGCUUUCGUGUUUCUUGUUUUGUCACUAUGGACAACUAAGUAGUUUGUUGGAAAAGUUGAUGUUUCUAUUCGAAUGGAAUCGGAGAAAAGUGGAGAUAAUAACUCUUUAAUGAAGAAGAGAGUAAGGGGGGAUGCAUUGAAGUACUUCCGGAAAGAAAAAUUGCCAUGAAUGUAUGCACAUAAUGUUAGAAGAUAUGCAUAAUUAUCUUCUUUUCUUUUCUUUUUUUUUUUGAAUUUCAAGUUUGGUGUGCAUGUAAGGGGAAACAAGAUCCAUUAGGAAACUAGGGUUUACAAUUCACAAACUACUAUAAAAGGAGAAACUUCUCACAACCACAUCUCAUCCUUCUCUUUGCUUCAAUCCCCCAUGUGGUAUGUUGGCUAUUAUCUUUUCCUUUUUUCUUAUCGUACCUUGUCUAGCUCUCUAAUCGUUGAAAAGAUUUGUGCUCGAAACGUCUUGUUAAUAUCAUCCAUCUCAUUCACCUUUUACUUAUUUCUUGGCUUGCUUUUAUUCUUUUCUAAUUUGGUUCAAAUUGUUAACAAAAACACUAGAAGAGAAAUCAUGGAAGGAGACUACAACGAGGAGAGAAGGUUCCCGUGCAACUACUGCGACCGCCUAUUCAUGAGCUCGCAAGCAUUGGGCGGCCAUCAAAAUGGCCACCGGAGAGAGCGCGAGGCUGUGAAGAAGGCUCAACAAGAAGCUCAUCUCCUAGCCAUGCAAAUGCCACCACCUCCCCCACAAUCUUUAGAAGUACCAUCUUACCCGCCCGCGACCAAUAACCCCCCCCACCAACCCUUACAAUACAACCCUCAAAACUAUGUGCACUCUCCGACUUGUCACGCCAAUCGUUUGAUCUCGAGACAUUCUUAUUACCAAACUCAUCGACCGCCAUAUUGCACCCACCAAGCAUCAGGGGCUCCUGUCGUGCUUACCCCAAGGUUUGCUCCUAGAUAUUCUUCUACUUCUUCAUAUAAUAAUAUUGGAGGAAUUGCAAGGGAUGAAGAUCUUAUUAGAUUCCCUUCUAGAUAUCCUACUAGCAUGCAAAAUUUUGGUGUCGAAGACCCUAGGAUUACUUCAAGAUUCCAUUCCACUUGCCCACAUGUAGUAGGAAUGGCAAGAGAUGAAGAGCAAAGGAGGUUUAUGAUCUUGAAUAGGAAUUUGAGUGAUAACAAUGGUGCACCCUCUACAAUAGGAGAAGAGAGGGGAAAUGUGGUGACGGCGGGCCCGUCAACUGCGAACCAGGGAGCUGACAUGGAUUCUAAUGCAAUCAACAACGGCAAGGAUGAGGUCGAGAACGAGAUCGACCUUACUCUCCGUUUAUGAAGGCAUAUUUUUUAAGAGUAAUAAGAUCAGAAUUUUCUUCUGGCAUGUUUGUUUGUUUGUUGUUGUUGUUCUUUUAAAUUUCAAUCCUCAUUUAGCAGUUUGCGCAAUGGCCCAAACAUGUUAUGAACUUGCUUUGCUUCUUUAUAGGUUAUAGUUGUGUCAAUGCAUCAUGGAUGGCAAAAUAAAAGAGAACUUUGUUCCCUAUAAAUGUGUUUACUACCCUUUAAGGGUGAAGGUUAUUGUUUCACCAUUUUCUCAAUUAUAUUUCAUAUAUAUCUUCUAAUUUGCACAUUAAGGGUGUUUCUUUGCUGUGAUAUGGAUGAUAAAAUUUGAAUCGGAAAUGAUAUAUAUCUUCCACUCAAAUAUGAAGAAAUUUAAAUCAAGUGUCACCGUAAACUUACGUAGCGACGUUCUACGUUAUUUCGUUGCAUGCAAUUAAUGGCAGCUUUCUAUUAUUUAAAAAAAAAAUAGUACUUGAGUUUAUUUUAAGCAUAAAUAUUGCCAAUUCACCUCUUCUCAUAAUUCAUGUCUUCAAUAAAAAUUUCCUUUUGUGAAAAUCUUGCAAGGUUGUCUACGUUCCACUUUAGAAUUUUAUCUAAAAUCAAACAAAGUGUCAGAAAAUACUAAAUUAUACAUACAUACAUACAUACAUACAUAUAUAUAUAUAUAUGUGUAUAUAUAUAUAUAUAUGUGUGUAUAUAUAAUUCUAUAUUAUGGGUAUAUAUAUAAUAUUAUAUGUGCUAUAUAUAUAUUAUUUAUAUGGGCUCUAUAUAUAUAUAUAUAUAUGUGUGAUAUAUAUAUCAUAUGUAUAGUAUAUCAGAAAACAUCCGUAUUAUGUUAUAUAUGUAGAUAUAUAUAUAUGUAUAAGUAUAUAUACAUAUGUUAUAGAUAUGUAUAUAUAUCAUAUGUAUAUAUAAUAAUAUGUAUAAUAGUAAUAUUCAAAUAUAUUAUGUAUAUAUUAUAAUAUGUAUACAUAUGUAUUAUAUUAUAAUAUGUAUAUAAUAAUUGUUAUAAUAUGUAUAUAUACAUAUGUAUACAUAUGUAUAUGUAUACAUAUGUAUACAUAUACAUAUGUAUACAUAUACAUAUGUAUACAUAUGUAUAUAUAUAUAUAUAUGUAUAUAUAUACAUAUGUGUAUAUAUAUGAAAGGUGCCCCUAUUAAAAGUUUUGUACUUGAAUAGUUUCUAUAUGAAAAUUUUCCCUAAAUGUAACAAAACAUUUCCCCUUAGCCAGCUAAGUAACACUUAAUAUGACUAUUGAGUAAAUAUCUGGAAUGAACUUAAUUUGUAAGUAGAAGAGAGAUAGAUAUAGGAAGUAAAUGUCGGAGUUCGAGUGAUGUGCAUUUUCGCCAUCUCGGGUACGUGUACAAUUAAUACAAAUAACUCGUUAUUUCAAUGAAUCGAAGCACUUCCAUUUCUCGAAAGUUUUGUCAGCAUUAAUACUUGGUCUGUCAUGAAAGGUUAAUCUUCUUUUUUAUGUUUAAUCGUUUGUGCAAAUUUCAUCAAUCUAUGAACUAAGAGAGGAGAAGUCGAUAAAGUUAUUAAAAUCGUCUGCAGAUAAAUCAGAUCAAAUUGAUUUUGCCUGUUUCACUGAUCUUCUUUCUCAAAAUUGACCUAGUUUUUAUUCAAUUCUAGAAUUGUCUACAAAUCUACAUGCUCGAUAUAUCGUUGACGUUUCAAAGACAAUGCGGUACGAAUCAAGAGGUAAAAGAAGAGAUCACGGCAUUCAAGUACUUGCAUGAGUUAUAUGGAGUUGUGAAAAGUAGUUUGCAAAAAAUGACAAUAAUAAAUGUUGUGACAAAGUUAAAAUGUGGCAGUAAAUUAGCAGAGAAUUAAGAGGUGAUUAAUGGAGAGAUGUAAACGGGCUUCUUGGGCCAAGCCCAAGUUCAACUACCGGGUCUACCACUACGUCGACAUACACUACGUAAUGGCCCAUUUUAUGCCUGGCCCGGUUAGGCCCACCACCAUUGGGUACAUGUUGAGCCCAUUUUUCUCGUUAUCAAUUUUAGUAAAGUUUUUUUUUUUUUUUUUUUUUUUGUCAAAAAAGAAGAUCUAAGGGCACUACAGUAGAACAUAAUACUAUUUUACAAGAUUAUGUAGAAGAAACUAUUCUGUCACCACCACAAAUUUAGUAUGAAAAGAUAUACUUUCCGCGACUGUAAUACUAUGUGGUGAGAAAUAACUUGCUAUUGUGUAAACUCCAAAGUAGAUCUUUUGCUUUUCGAAAGCUUAUUCUAGCUUCUCGAUCUAGCUAGAAGUUUUAGAUUUUUCUGUUGCCCGAAAGACGCAUAAUCCAAAGUCUUGAACACAUCAGGAGAAGAUCAAAUUGCUUUGGUGGAACAAACAAAUAAAUUUAUCUCCUCUUUUUUCAACAAACUGAUGAUAUCAUUCUUAAAAUAAAAUUAGUGCAAACUCCUUUACUAAAAAAGAUAAGGACAAGGUAUCCACAUAAUCCAUGGUGAGAUACAUUUGCUCCUUGUUUCCUACAUUAGUUUAGUUUAUAUGAAAGGCAACUUUAAACAUAGUCCUGGGACCAAAAAAAAAAAAGAUAAAAAAAGAAAAAGGGAUUAUUUAUGCACAACCAUAACACGCGUACGCUUAAAAUCGCAAAGACCAACAACAACAACAAUGCUUUCGCUUUACUAAAAGCCUUUUGUCUCCACUCUCCACCCAAUUCACCAAAGCUUUUUUCCCUUUUUUAUUUUUUUAUGUUUUUUGGUUGUAUAUAUUAAGCACCCUUUGAGCUUUGACAAGUGGGAUAAACUUAAGUUCUCUUAUUCAAAUAAUAAUUUUGAGUGCCUCAAAAUGGAUUGUUUUAUUAAUUAGAUUUUGGCUCCAAUUAUCCGCCCUUUUUUAUGUCUUCUAAUGAUAAAAUAAAGUCAUUAAUUGGCUCCAAAAUAAAUUUGAUUCCUUAAAAAAUGAGCAAAAGAUUAGAAUGAGAGUUUGGAUUUCCUUACAUUAAUUUGUCGUUUCGGUAGGUUUAGUUUUUCCUUUUAAAGGUGUCAACCUAUUUGUUUAAGAUUUGUGUGAGGAUAAAGAGGAAAAUUUAAUUUGGAGUGAAUUGAGGAUAAAGAAAUGGAAUACAUUAAAUGAGAUGAAUUCACUUCAAUUUGAUACAUCCGCCCAAUCAAAAUACGAAAAGGUGUAUUAUCCAACAGUUUAAUUAUUCUCAAUUGUUACUGAUGGUAUCUAGUGUAUAUAAUUGACUAAGAAUUUGAUGAUUUGUGUUUGAGAUCAAAAGCUCCAUUGCUUUAUAUAUAUAUAUUGUCAAAUUUUACUGAUUAUAUCUAGUAUAGUUCGCUAAGAAUUUGAUCAUAUCUAGUAUAGUUGCCUAUGUUUAUUUUUUAAAAAUAUAAAUGGACCAAAUAAGGCUAAUUCUUUUUAGAAAAAAAAAAGGAGAAUAUUCUAGUUGUUUUAUCCGCACUAUACAGAUCAUGAUAUAUAUCUCUCAGAAUAGUAAUUCACGGCAUUGAACACUAUAUGGCCGUUUGAUUCGAUAUAGUUGUAAAUACUGUAUAGUUAAAAAUACAUACAGUUAAAAAUAUAACAGUUAUAUUUACACUAUUACAGUUGCAUUUCUUCUAUUUAAUAAUAUGGAGCUAAUAGUUCUAUUUGUAAAUCUCGUCACCUGAUUUUCAAAUCAAGUGGUGAGAUUACCUUUAUUAUACAUAAAAUAAUUGUAUAAUUUUAUUAAUUAUUUAAACUUACUGUUUAUUUAAUGGAUAUAUGUAAUGUUUUUGUAGUUUUUAAUAAUUCUUCAACUUAUCAAUCGAAAAAUUUAAAAUUUUUAAUAUAUUUAAUUUUAAUAUAUAAAUCAAACUUAAAAAAUUUAAAUGAUUCUCUCAUUUUUUUAAUCAAAGUUAAUAAUUAUAAUUAAUUAAAAUUUAUUAAAUUAACAUAUACGAUCACAUUCUAUAAAAAUUUAGAAAAAAAAUCUAUAUUUAUAUUUUAAAUAAAAUAAAUUUAAAAAAAUUAAUUUUUUGCACAAAGUUUGUAUUGUCUAAAAACUUUUAUUAGUACUAUGAAUUUAUUUACAAGUAUUUUUAUUUAUCCAUAUAUAUAUAUAUAUAUAUAUUAAUUAAUUAAUUAUUUAUUUAGCUAUUUAUUUAUUUAUUUAUUAUUGUUAAUUUGUGGGUGAUUCUAUUCCUCACCAACUGCGGCAGUUGGAACUGUAGCCAAUUUGGAUGUAAUUCCAACUAUAAUAUUUGCAACCAAACAGACCCUAUGUAGUAGCUGAAAGAAAUCCAAAAUUAAUAUAUCCAAAUUAUUGACUGUUUCUCGUACAAAUGCCAAAGACUUAAUAAUUGAUAUUUAAAAUUUUAAAUUUAAAAUUUAAUUAUUUUAUAUUGUUUACUAAAUUUAUUUAUU
rnacentral:lncRNA from 1 species